rnacentral:rRNA from 1 species
UGAGGAAUAUUGGUUCAAUGGGCGGGAGCCUGAACCAGCCAAGCCGCGUGAGGGAAGAAGGCCCUAUGGGUCGUAAACCUCUUUUGUCAGGGAACAAAAGCGAGUAUGUAUACUGGUCUGAGUGUACCUGAAGAAAAACGCAUCGGCUAACUCCGUGCCAGCAGCCGCGGUAAUACGGAGGAUGCGAGCGUUAUCCGGAUUUAUUGGGUUUAAAGGGUGCGUAGGCGGCGGUGCAAGUCAGCGGUAAAAGCCCGGGGCUCAACCCCGGCGAGCCGUUGAAACUGCAGUGCUAGAGAAGGCGAGAGGUACGCGGAAUGCGCAGUGUAGCGGUGAAAUGCUUAGAUAUUGCGCAGAACUCCGAUUGCGAAGGCAGCGUACUGGCGCCUGACUGACGCUGAGGCACGAAAGCGUGGGGAUCGAACAGGAUUAGAUACC